CCAUUGAACGUGUUGUCAUUUGUUUUAAUGGAAAAUUCUGAUGAGUUUUCUUUUCUUUUGGCUCUGAGAAUUCCCAUAAUCAUAAUCGAACAAUGACGGAGGAAGCAAGAGGCAGGCAAGCGAAAAAUGUGUACGGGUAGCAUAACCUUAGAAAGAGGGAGCAAAUGCAUUUUAUGACUUUUUUAUGCAUUUAACUGCCACAAAUUAGCCAUUCCGAAAUGAAGUUAAGUUGAGGCAGGGCCACGCCCCACAACACACACUCACACACACACACACGAACAAACCCUCUCAGAUUUUACCCAUUUGCAAGCCCAUUUCAAAUUGUCACUUAUCAAACAAACUGUCAGUUAAAUUAUAUUUUUGCCCAUCGCAUUUGUAACCAUCAACGUCGCUGCAUCCCCGAGAGAGUGCCUGAGUUGCCAGCAGCAGAAGCAGCAGCAGAGGCAGGAGCAGCAGUGGAGAAACUGAGACGCCUUCAAAGCUGCUCGGGAAGGGAAGUACACUGAAAAACAAAGUACGAAGACUAUGCUACCGUUAAUUACUACUCAACAGAUGCGAAUAUGAUAAGAAAAUCGAUGGCAUUACUUGAAUAUUGUAUUGUUUAUGGAUUAACAUCAAUAAAAAAAAAACACUCUAUAACCGUGCUAUUAUGGAGAUUUGUUUCUUUGA